rnacentral:rRNA from 1 species
UAGGGAAUCUUCGGCAAUGGGGGGAACCCUGACCGAGCAACGCCGCGUGCGUGAAGAAGGUUUUCGGAUCGUAAAGCUCUGUUGUUAAGGAAGAACGAGUGUGAGAAUGGAAAGUUCAUACUGUGACGGUACUUAACCAGAAAGGGACGGCUAACUACGUGCCAGCAGCCGCGGUAAUACGUAGGUCCCGAGCGUUGUCCGGAUUUAUUGGGCGUUAAGCGAGCGCAGGCGGUUAGAUAAGUCUGAAGUUAAAGGCAGUGGCUCAACCAUUGUAGGCUUUGGAAACUGGUUAACUUGAGUGAAGAAGGGGAGAGUGGAAUUCCAUGUGUAGCGGUGAAAUGCGUAGAUAUAUGGAGGAACGCAGGUGGCGAAAGCGGCUCGCUGGUCUGUAACUGACGCUGAGGCUCGAAAGCGUGGGGAGCGAACAGG